rnacentral:lncRNA from 1 species
GCCCGGACCUGCAAAACCUGCAGCCCCUUCUGGGGCCCCAAAUGAGGCGAUCCGCCCCCAAACCGCGCCGGUCCCUGCCAGCGGGCACCGGCGGACGCGCCCCGGCCGCAGAGCCGCGCCGGCACCUCAUCCCGCCCGAGCCCUGCGGUUUCUCCUAAGCGCGUCUGAGCCAUUUCAGCCCCUAGAGCGGGUUAAAGGUUUAUGUUUCUGUCAGCCUCAGAACUGGCACCAGCUCAGCGCCACCUGCGGAAUUUCAUCCCAUCUUCUGAGACACAAAAGCUGCAUUAAAACAAAACGACAAAAAAAAAUUGAUAAUUUAUUAUUAAUCGGAAAUGUUCAAAUCGCAAGUUACUGAGCAACAGGGGAGUCUGGGCUCGGGCGCGCCGCAGCGGUGCUCCGGCACGUGUGCGCCAGACCGAGCGCUUGUUCCGUGCUUCGCGGCGUAGGAGUUGGGGAGGCGGCUGCAGCCGUUAGGGCACGCGGGUCCCCUCUCACGCCCAGGGGAACCGCCGCACGGCUCCUGCCCUUAAUGGCGAUACCGUGCCAACACCCUCCGCAUGCUCCUUCUCAGCCAACUGCUUUUUUUUUUUCCUCCACGUGAGACAAAUGAACAAAGAUCAGUAUCGUCCCAUGACUUGUUUUUCAAGAACGGUGUCGUAAAAAAAUAUCUGGGCCUCUGUCACUGACAAAUGCCCUCCCCAAAUCUAGUCUUAAUAGAUUUAUUUAGUUUUUCUGCAUUUCUUACCAUCUCCUCUCCCUCAACUUUCAUUUCAUGAUGUUCUUUCCUUUCUUCAGCUGUGGAGAUAAAAUAACUGGGUGAAUUCAGACCUCUCUGGGCAAGAAUCUGAUGUGAUUUUUCCAUCCCCAACUUUUGGGAGAGAUACUUAAAAUUAAUCACUUGUGUGCUAGGGUUUAGGUUUGUUUGUUUAUUUAGUACACGCCAGAUCUCGCAAAGACAGUGAGCUAUGUGCUAAUCAAACCAUCUGGCCUAUAUAAAAAAUUUAUCUUCGCUAAAUAAUUAACAACAACUAGAUGAGAAGGCUUCAUUAAGGCCAGGAAAGGAACGUCUGGUGUGGGGCCAACAGAGGAUAAAUAAAGAAGGAAGAUGAACAACCA